GAUGAACGCUAGCUACAGGCUUAACACAUGCAAGUCGAGGGGCAGCAUGAAGGUUAGCAAUAACCUUUGAUGGCGACCGGCGCAAGGGUGCGUAACGCGUGAGCAACUUGCCCGUUUCAGGGGGAUAACCGGUGGAAACGCCGACUAAUACCCCAUGGUAUCAUUUUAAGGCAUCUUAUAAUGAUUAAAGAGAGUCGGAAACGGAUAGGCUCGCGUGACAUUAGCUAGAUGGCGGGGUAACGGCCCACCAUGGCGACGAUGUCUAGGGGUUCUGAGAGGAAGGUCCCCCACACUGGAACUGAGACACGGUCCAGACUCCUACGGGAGGCAGCAGUGAGGAAUAUUGGUCAAUGGUCGAAGGACUGAACCAGCCAUGCCGCGUGAAGGUGACGGCCCUAUGGGUCUUAAACUUCUUUUGUAAGGGAGCAAUAAGGUUUACGUGUAGACUGAUGAGAGUACCUUACGAAUAAGCAUCGGCUAACUCCGUG
rnacentral:rRNA from 1 species